rfam:Dipodomys ordii contig_10662, whole genome shotgun sequence.
GGGAAUGUGGCCUAGUGGUAGAGUGCUUGCCUAGCAUGCAUGAAGCCCUGGGUUCGAUUCCUCAGUACCA